UACGUAGGGUGCAAGCGUUAAUCGGAAUUACUGGGCGUAAAGCGUGCGCAGGCGGUGAUGUAAGACAGAUGUGAAAUCCCCGGGCUCAACCUGGGAACUGCAUUUGUGACUGCAUCGCUGGAGUGCGGCAGAGGGGGAUGGAAUUCCGCGCGUAGCAGUGAAAUGCGUAGAUAUGCGGAGGAACACCGAUAGCGAAGGCAAUCCCCUGGGCCUGCACUGACGCUCAUGCACGAAAGCGUGGGGAGCAAACAGG
rnacentral:rRNA from 1 species